CCUACGGGAGGUAGCAGUGGGGGAUAUUGCACAAUGGGGGAAACCCUGAUGCAGCGACGCCGCGUGGGCGAAGAAGUAUUUCGGUAUGUAAAGCUCUAUCAGCAGGGAAGAAUAAAUGACGGUACCUGAGUAAGAAGCACCGGCUAAAUACGUGCCAGCAGCCGCGGUAAUACGUAGGGUGCAAGCGUUAUCCGGAUUCACUGGGUGAAAAGGGAGCGCAGGGGGCACGGCAAGCCUGAUGUGAAAGGCCGGGGCCCAACCGCGGAACUGCAUUGGGAACUGCCGAGCUAGAGUGCAGGAGAGGUAAGCGGAAUUCCUAGUGUAGCGGUGAAAUGCGUAGAUAUUAGGAGGAACACCAGUGGCGAAGGCGGCUUACUGGACGGUGACUGACGCUGAGGCUCGAAAGCGUGGGGAGCAAACAGGAUUAGAUACCCGGGUAGUC
rnacentral:rRNA from 1 species